ACGAUAAGACAUAUCUAUAUCGAACUACAAUGGCAUUGUACUUGUGAAAAUCAUUUGAAUAUUUGAGAUAAAGAAUAUUUUUUUGUCUUUUUAAAUACAAAUCCACCGGCCAAAUGCACACAAACUACUUGAGGAGAAGUAUGUCAGAGUGGGAAUCGGCAUUCAAAUUUAUGUUCGAGCUCAUAAAACGCAAUAAAUGUCGAGAACAUUGCUAAUGGAUAAUAUCGUUAAAUACCUCUUAAGUGCUUUCAACGAGUUUAUGGUGUCAACGAUGUUCAUUUGUAUUUAUGUAUUUUAAAAUCAAUUAAAACUUAUGUCGAAUUAAAUAGAUGAAGCCCUUUUGUUGUGAUACCUUAUUAAAUCUUUGCCGUCGCAACAAUCAGGGCAUUAUUUCCAUCAACCUAAUUAUUAUUACCUCUUUGUACAGUUCUUUCGUAGACUAACGCUUAAUGUAUGUGAAUAUGUAUGUAUAUUAAUUACAAAGUAUAUACAUUUUUAGGUUCAAUUUAAACUGGUACCGAAGGCUGUUAACUAAUUGAAAUAACAAUUAAAUAUACAUAUAUCAGUUAUAUUUAUAUGUAAAUAUGUGUCGACGACGACGGUUUAACAAAACACCAUAACAAAAGGGUUUCCCAGUCUUUAAUAUUUACAUACAUACAUAUGUAUACGGCACGAGUAUCAGAAGCAGAUUUUGUUUUAAUAUCAUUUCUUUCACAUAAUGACUUUCCUGCAAUGCUAGUUUAUUUGGUGUUGAAGUAGAAUUAAUGCUCUCCGAUCAGCAGGAUGGCUUUGAAAUGAAUGAGUGCAGUCAAAUGUAUUUCCGUCUACAGAUGCAUAUACAUACAUGCAGACGUGUGCGUCCUAUCCCUUACUAUACCGAAACCGAAGAAAGCCUGCUGUGCUGUAUAGCGGUUACUAAUCACAAAAAUUUGUACAACUGUUUAAAAAGCCUUAAUGUACUUCUAAUAGCAAAGUUGGCAUUACCCUGCUGGCAAUUCAAAGUAAACAGUUGCUGUAUCCAAUUACGAUCUGUAAUCCCGUCGAGUGGUGUGGCACGCUUCAACAAUUUGCUUAUUGACUCAACAGUUAAAUGCAAACAUACAUAUAAAAGUAUUCCUGGACAGGGUACCUAGAAGACGAGUUCGUAUGUAUGUCUGUAAAUACGCGAACUAGUUCCUCAGUUUUCGCGGCAUACUGUAGUAAAAAGCUACCAUACAAUUGUUCAGAUCGGACAACUAUAGCAUAUGAAUUGACACCAUACAAACUCAACGAUGAAGCAGAGAACUUUUACAUUGGAUGACACAUCAUCAUAAUAAUUGGCACAGAUUAUUACCAAGACAAUAAUGUCAUCUCCGAAGAAAUUGUUCAGAUCGGAUAACUAUAGCAUAUGAAAAGCUGCCAUAUAAACUGAACGAUUAUAAUUAAGUUUUUCCAAUUCCUUUGUAUUUGUGACAACCGUAGUUAAUCCUUUUCCUGGUUUUUACUACGACAUGCCAUAAUGUUGAUACAAAAUAUUCUUGCUUCAUUUUAUUAACGCAUCUACCGCCAAUACAGAUAUUUGAGAUAUAUGCUCAACCAAAAGAAGGAAAUACAAUCAUUAAUAUUAUAGGGUGUAUGAGAAAAAUACACACCUUUCUAUUCAUAUCAUUAAAAUAUCUCACAUAUUGAGAUCAGAAAGUCGAAAAUUAUUAUUUUAGAUAUAUAGGGAUUAGGACAGGGGAACAUCUGAACUGAUUGCAUUAAUUUCGAUAGUUCAACGCCAGAGUACUUGAAUUAUAAUAUAUCCAACAAUAUUUAUAAUUAUUUAAAAAUGUUAUAAUUAUUAGUAUAAUAAAAAAAGUUAAGUAUUUAAAUAUUUUCGUACCUCUAAUUUAAAUUCCGACACAAAUGAUACGAGAUUGUGUCCCUUUACUUUCAAUUGAUACUAUACCAAGCUUGCCAGUUUUUCUUGACACAUAGUACAUCAUAGGUUGUUUUUGAUAACUUUCAAUUUAGAAAUUUAAAUAACAUAAAAUAAAUAAAUAAACAAAUAAAGAAAAUUUGCCAAUAUGACGUCCUGGACCUAAAUUCCUAAAUUGCCCAUCUGAGCGGGCUGGCCCUGAUAUCAAGUAAAUCGAUAUUGUCGAUUUUUAGAAUUAAGUUGGUUAUAUUUUUAUUUGAAAAAGGUAGUUUCAGCAUAAUUUCAGUCAUAUGUGACUGAUCGCAUCACUCAUGUACUCAUAAUCAGUAUCUAAGGUUAGAAAAUGUAGAGACUGUUUUUCAUUUCGAGAUGAGAGGUGC